UGGGCAGUCCGAGCCUUUUAUUAGCACUUCCAAAGACAAGCCUUAUACACUUAGAUGCGUUCUUUACUCUCUAAAGUCUACCGCUCUGUUGUUUGGAGUCACCAACCAAAUACUAGGCCAUAACUCAUAUAUAGGCAUUGAAGUUGGAAACAAAGGCUUUAUUUCAGGAGGAGGAGCGAGGGAAUGAGAUAAGGGAGCUACAGACUGAUCGACAAAGUAAUUAGAGUAGUAAUUUGGAGAGACAGAGUUACCCCGCGCAAUAAUAGGACUGGAAAAGGGAACUUUUGUUCUGGCAAUAAUAGGACUGGAAAAGGGAACUUUUGUUCUGUAGUGGUUACUUACAUUGGAUCUUUAUUUGUUUCAAACUGUAACUAGUGCUACCAAUACAGCAGCUAAUAAGUAGUAAUCUAUUCUCUGGGUCAUGUGUUCAAACGUAUUGCUCUAAGCCCCCAACGAGGAAUAAAGUGUUUCGCUCCCGAUCUCCAAUCCGUAUUUCACCUCUGAUUCUUGAGUAGCAAACAACGAGAACAACAAGUUUUCUAUUUCCUCAACCUCACUGCUUUCCUUAGUAGCAUCAUUGUUUAUACUGGCUCCGCUCCC
rnacentral:lncRNA from 1 species